UACGUAGGGGGCCAGCGUUGUUCGGAAUUACUGGGUGUAAAGGGUUCGUAGGCGGUGUGGCAAGUUGGGAGUGAAAUCUCUGGGCUCAACCCAGAGACGGCUUCCAAAACUGCCGUGCUUGAGUGUGGGAGAGGCUCGUGGAAUUGCAGGUGUAGCGGUGAAAUGCGUAGAUAUCUGUAGGAACACCCGUGGCGAAAGCGGCGAGCUGGACCACUACUGACGCUGAAGAACGAAAGCUAGGGGAGCAAACAGG
rnacentral:rRNA from 1 species